rnacentral:rRNA from 1 species
ACGGUCCAGACUCCUACGGGAGGCAGCAGUGGGGAAUAUUGCACAAUGGGCGAAAGCCUGAUGCAGCAACGCCGCGUGAGUGAUGAAGGCCUUCGGGUUGUAAAGCUCUGUCUUUGGGGACGAUAAUGACGGUACCCAAGGAGGAAGCCACGGCUAACUACGUGCCAGCAGCCGCGGUAAUACGUAGGUGGCAAGCGUUGUCCGGAUUUACUGGGCGUAAAGGAUGCGUAGGUGGAUAUUUAAGUCAGAUGUGAAAUACCCGAGCUCAACUUGGGUGCUGCAUUUGAAACUGGAUAUCUAGAGUGCAGGAGAGGUAAGUGGAAUUCCUAGUGUAGCGGUGAAAUGCGUAGAGAUUAGGAAGAACACCAGUGGCGAAGGCGACUUACUGGACUGUAACUGACACUGAGGCAUGAAAGCGUGGGGAGCAAACAGGAUUAGAUACCCUGGUAGUCCACGCCGUAAACGAUGAGUACUAGGUGUAGGGGGUAUCGACUCCCUCUGUGCCGCAGUUAACACAAUAAGUACUCCGCCUGGGAAGUACGGUCGCAAGAUUA